rnacentral:rRNA from 1 species
UACGAGGGGUGCGAGCGUUGCUCGGAAUUAUUGGGCGUAAAGGGUAGGUAGGUGGUUUCGUUUGUCUGGGGUGAAAGCCUUGAGCUUAACUCAAGAAGUGCCCCGGAAACGGCGAAACUCGAGUACUGGAGAGGGUCGUGGAAUUCCCGGUGUAGCGGUGAAAUGCGUAGAGAUCGGGAGGAACACCAGAGGCGAAGGCGGCGACCUGGACAGUUACUGACACUCAACUACAAAAGCGUGGGGAGCAAACAGG